rnacentral:rRNA from 1 species
AGCUAACGCGUGAAGUUGCCGCCUGGGGAGUACGGUCGCAAGAUUAAAACUCAAAGGAAUUGACGGGGACCCGCACAAGCGGUGGAUGAUGUGGAUUAAUUCGAUGCAACGCGAAUAACCUUACCUACCCUUGACAUGUACGGAAGCCUCCAGAGAUGGGGGUGUGCCCGAAAGGGAGCCGUAACACAGGUGCUGCAUGGCUGUCGUCAGCUCGUGUCGUGAGAUGUUGGGUUAAGUCCCGCAACGAGCGCAACCCUUGUCCCUAGUUGCUACGCAAGGGCACUCUAGGGAGACUGCCGGUGACAAACCGGAGGAAGGUGGGGAUGACGUCAAGUCCUCAUGGCCCUUAUGGGUAGGGCUUCACACGUCAUACAAUGGCCGGUACAGAGGGUUGCCAAAGCGCGAGCUGGAGCCAAUCCCAGAAAGCCGGUCGUAGUCCGGAUUGCAGUCUGCAACUCGACUGCAUGAAGUCGGAAUCGCUAGUAAUCGCGGAUCAGCAUGUCGCGGUGAAUACGUUCCCGGGUCUUGUACACACCGCCCGUCACACCAUGGGAGCGGGAUGUACCAGAAGUAGGUAGGCUAACCGCAAGGGGGCCGCUUACCACGGUGCGUUUCGUGACUGGGGUGAAGUCGUAACAAGGUAGC